CCGGGAAGACUUGCGCGCAGGCGCAGUCUCGCGUUCUUUUUGGGGUCGACCGCGUGGCUGUUAGUCGUGGUGGCUCACGUCGGUUCUGAGCUUAGUUGGCAGCCUCGGCCUGCGGUGAUGGCCUUUGUUUGCCAUCUGCAGAGAUGGCGAGAAGCAGAGCGGCAGGUUGAAGCUUCAGAGUAUGGACGGAGCCCUAAAAUGAGUAAGAAUGGGUGCAGGCACGACGUGAGUGGUCAUCAGAAAUGAGAAAACAGAUAACUCUGCUGUCACAGACAUCUGCCUUAUACUUUGUUCUGAAGUUAAGUUCAAGCAUAUCAGUACAUGUUGAAACAAAAGUCUAGUUAGGGUACGACGAAAUCUACCCAGAAUUCAAAAUGCAUGGUAAAUAUGAGGAUUGUGCCUUUGUAAUUAGGGGCCACUAGGUGUCACUGUUUGUAACCAGCAUGGAUGUCACUGCACAGGGCUCAAAGGGAGACGUGGAAAAUGAGUUUCAGUUGGCUGGCAUUUAGGAAUAUUUGUCACUGGUUGAGCUGAGGAUGAUUUAAAGUUAUCCCUGUCUGAAAUGACAUCUUUUAUGAGGAGUUCUGACUUACUGAGGCUCAGCUUUUUAAUAUAAAUCUCGAGAAAAUAAACACUUUAAGGUUGUUUCUGUUAGAAUAAAGCAUGUUAUCCUUUUCUUUCAGAUUAGAAGUGUUGCUUGUGGACUUUAAGAAAAAGCCAUGUGAAAACUCAUCAUGAGUUGUUGACUGUCACGGAAUCUUCACGAUGACAUUUCUGUAAAUGCAGCUGGUAUUGUGUGUUGGCCUUCAGUAGGCUAGCUGAAACAAUGAGUGAUCUGAAAUAAAAUAGACAAGAUUGAGAGUUCUCCUGAAGGAAGUAAAGCACAAUUUGAUUUAAGAAAAUAGUUUGCGUGUGCUAUGGCUGUCAGCGCCGUGGACUAGCAGAUUGGUGGGAGCUGAGUGCAUGAUGAUGUGAAGUUAUCCCUGUCUGAAGGCAAAGAGAGGCCUUUCUGUGUGGAAUGUGGAUGUCUGAAACUCAGUUUCCCAGGUUUGUCUUACAGAAGACUUCGGCAAUGAUUUUAAAAAUGGCUGAAAGUUACUCUGUAUAUCUUCUUGAGUAGAUUUUUUUCUUUUUUAAUUCUUUUCCUCAUUGGGUGCAAUCUCAGCCUCAGUUUCUGAGGCUGAAAAAGGAUCCUGUAGCAGUUACACCUUGGCAGCUGCCCUGGCCCUGGCCCCGAAGGAGACUGUCUCGUGCGUGUAAGCACGAAAGACCUUCCAUACAGGCUCAGGUGUCUGCAGUGUGAGCAAGAACUGUGAACUGCUUUUCCUGAGGC